GCGGGAGCGCGCAGCAGAGGAAAAAAGGAGUGCAGCGAACGUGAAUGUGGAUGGUUGUGUGAACACAGACUGAUUGACUGCUCGGUUGACAGACAAAGUUGCGUGCGUCUAUGGGAAAAACCACGCUUAAGUGAGUCCCAUGUUCUGAACUGUUGCAAUUCCGAAUAAAUCCUUGAAAGA